rnacentral:rRNA from 1 species
UACGGGGGGGGCAAGCGUUGUUCGGAAUUACUGGGCGUAAAGGGCUCGUAGGUGGCCAACUAAGUCAGACGUGAAAUCCCUCGGCUUAACCGGGGAACUGCGUCUGAUACUGGAUGGCUUGAGUUUGGGAGAGGGACGCGGAAUUCCAGGUGUAGCGGUGAAAUGCGUAGAUAUCAGGAGGAACACCGGUGGCGAAGGCGGGUCUCUGGGCCGACAUUGACGCUGAGGAGCGAAAGCGUGGGGAGCGAACAGG